CUGUAAACUAUUAAAUUGGUAAAUAUUUUAUUAUCGUGGUUAAAUAGUUAGGUACCUAGUUUAGAUGGGAGGUCUUCAGAAUUUUGAAAGAGCUGAGGUUUGAAUGUAUAGGCAUGUCAAGAUCUUUCUUCCGGGUCAUACAAACAAUUGUGAAACUAAGUAAACCAAAAAAGAGAAAGGAGAUAAGACCUAUAAUUUUCAAAAAGCGUUGUCACUAUUAAUACCUGAUGAAAA